CUAGAACUAGAGGUGACAAGACGACCACUAUGUAACUGCAUGCAAUGCAACACCAACUAAAUGAAGUGCAAUGGAGAGAUCAAUGAACAAUAAGUGUAAGCAAUGAAAAAUAUCAACCUGAGUAAAAAUAAAUUUCUAUUUUGGGAUUAAGUAAAUCCAAAUACGGCAAACAAAUAAUGCUGAUAUUUAAAAUAACAAAGCAAGGACCAAAUACCAAUCAAGAAAAUCCAAUCACGUAGGAUUGCUUUUUUUUUUUUUUUUUAGGAACAAUUAAUGAAAAGAUGUAAAGCAAAGGUACGGACUAUGAAAAUGAAAGAAUGGGGACAUAAGGAAUAUGAAGCAAAACAAAAUCUAAGUGUUGGAUAAAUUGGGUCGUAGCAAAUGUGGGGUAAAAUUAUCCACGGAGACUAAAUCAGCCAAGGGGUCCAAUCAAAUGGGUUUGGAUAAAAUUACUACGAAUAAUAGUAGCACAUA